GCGUAUGGUGGAUUACUAACUAGCCAGAGAUUUAGAAGGGCUGCGAGCAGACAUGAUGGGGUCUCACAUGAAGGCUUUCACGCAGGCAUCAUGUUAUCUUCCUCUACAAACAAACAUCACCCUCCCCCUCUCUGUGUACUUAAUUAUACCCACUUCGAUUCUCCUUCUCAUCUCAUUGCCCAUCGAUCUCAUGCAUGCAUGCAUGCAUGUUGUUGCCUGCCUGGUUCCCAACACCCCUGCCUUUCCCACAACUUCCUUUUUAACCUCAUACAUGCGCAAAUAAUCCUAUCAUAUUGUGGUUUGCCUUUUUUUUUCACAGGAACUGCAGCCACUGACAUGCAGGGCCGUAUGUGUGUCCCAUCUAUCAGUAUACACAUCUGGGAAGUAGUUGAGAGGUGUGAUGCAGACCAUGCUUUUUCUGGAGUGUGUAAUGCUUGCAUUGCUUUGAAGGGUGUGUGGACUCAACUGCAUGGCCGGCUUGCGGUCAGGUGUAUGUGGGGCUCUUGCACUAUAUAAGCCGGAAGCUCGAUCAGUUGGUGGGAGGCAUGCUAUGCAUACAUGCAUGUCUUCCUUUGCUGCUCCUAUGCAUGCUUGCUAUCUUUGAUCCCUUAAAGCAACGAUCAGGAAGCAUUGCCCUUCACUCUCUGCAUUGGCACCACUCCUUGAGGUGGUGUCGCUAUCCGGCCCUUUCUCUCCUGUAAUCUUUGUCAUCUAGCUCGAUCGUGCUUGUUCCACAUAAUCCCUGGGCCAUGAUCACCAGCGUGUUCUAAGUGGUAGCUGUGCGAUGCUGUGGUGUGGUGGCAAUCCACUCAUGGGAGAGUUAAGGUCAUGCAUGAAGGUUCCAUCAUCAUCGACAUACCAGCAUGGUGCAUCAUGGAUAAAAAGCUGGCUGCUGAGAGUAACAACGACAAUCUACACAUGCAGGGUAAUCAGCUGGCUACUGAGGGGAUGCGAUAAAUAUCCAUACACAUCACAACGACCAAUGUGUAUAUAUAUGACAUGCAUUAUAUUUUUGGAUUGCCAUGAUCUGAACUUAUGUAUGAUAUAUAGUGUAAAACUCCUUGCUUGUAUAUCGUACUAUAUAUACUGAAUAUAAUGAUCAAAACUUAAUUGUAUGAUAAUAUAUUUGGUAGGCAGUGUAAUAAAUAAACUUAAGCUAGAGAGUAAUUAUAUAAUACAAUGAAGUAAAUAAAUUAGAGCUUU